CCCAAAUACUUAGAUAACCCUACAACAUAAAUAUAAAACAUUAUUUUAAUUAUCAAAUUAAAUCAUUCUUUUACCUAAGUAUGGGAGACAGAACAGGUUAAACUCGGAGCAAUAGAAAAAGUACCGCAAGGGAAAGCUGAAAGAGAAAUGAAACAACCCAUAUCAGCCAUAAAAAGCAAAGAUUAAAUCUU
rnacentral:rRNA from 1 species